rnacentral:rRNA from 1 species
AUUGAACGCUGGCGGCGGGCCUAACACAUGCAAGUCGAACGAGUGGCGGACGGGUGAGUAGUGUCUGGGAAACUGCCUGAUGGAGGGGGAUAAAUACUGGAAACGGUAGGUAAUACCGCAAACCAGUAGAUCUGCCCAGAUGGGAUUAGCUAGUUGGGGGGGUAACGGCUAACCAAGGCGACGAUGCCUAGCUGGCCUGAGAGGAUGACAAGCCACACUGGAACUGAGACACGGUCCAGACUCCUACGGGAGGCAGCAUUGGGGAAUAUUGCACAAUGGGCGCAAGCCUGACGCAGCCAUGCCGCGUGUAUGAAGAAGGCCUUCGGGGUGUAAAGUUCUUUCAGCGGGGAGGCGUUACCUGCCGAAGAAGCACCGGCUAACUCCGUGCCAGCCGCCGCGGUAAUUC